rnacentral:lncRNA from 1 species
GCAGGGAGAGCUGUCAGAUGGAACUAUCAUAGCAGUGAAGCAGCUAUCUUCCAAGUCAUGCCAAGGAAACCGUGAGUUUGUGAAUGAGAUAGGCAUGAUCUCUGGUCUGAAUCAUCCAAAUCUUGUCAAGCUUUGUGGAUGCUGUGUCAAAAAGGAUCAAUUGCUUCUCGUGUAUGAGUACAUGGAAAAUAACUCCCUUGCUCUUGCUUUGUUUGGUAAAUAAAUUAAAAUUCAUCCAGCUUACGUCUUGAGUCCAAUUUAUAUCUACAUAUGUUAUCACAUGUCUCAAUUCCAGGAAAGAGCUCAACCAAGUUAGAAUGGGCAAUGAGACAAAAAAUCUGUGUAGGAAUCGCAAGAGGGCUUGCCUUCCUCCACGAAGGAUCUGUAGUCAGGAUGGUUCACCGUGACAUAAAAACAACAAAUGUGCUUCUAGAUGCUGACCUAAACGCAAAGAUAUCUGACUUUGGUUUGGCCAGGCUCCACGAAGAAGAACACAGUCACAUUAGCACCAAGAUUGCAGGAACCAUGUAAGUAGUAUAUUAUAAAACAAAAACUGCACCAUAGCCAAAUAAAUAUAUCUUAGUCUUUAUUCUUGUUACAAUGCAGCGGAUACAUGGCUCCAGAGUAUGCAUUAUGGGGUCAACUAACAGAGAAAGCAGACGUGUAUAGCUUCGGGGUUGUGGCCAUGGAAAUUGUUAGUGGCAAGAGUAAUACUAAACACAAGGGAAGUGCUGAUCACGUCUCUCUUAUCAAUUGGGUAACCUUGGAGAUUGUUUUCAUUUAAUAUCCGUAUGCUUGUGUUAUACGUUUACUUAGACCACUUUUGUGAAUCUCAGGCAUUGAUGCUGCAACAGACAGGGGACAUAAUGGAUAUUGUAGAUCCAGUGCUUGAAGGUGAUUUCAACAGCAAAGAAGCAGUGAGGAUGAUCAAAGUUGCUCUCGUUUGCACACAUUCAUCUCCUUCUUUAAGGCCUACAAUGUCUGAGGCUGUACAAAUGCUCGACGGAGAGAUUGAAGUAACACAAGUUAUGUCAGAUCCUGGUUUAUAUGGACAUAACUGGAGCAUCUCGAAGCUGAGGGACGCUGAUACACAUGCUAGCUCGAGCACAUCUGGUGUGACCGAUCAAACAGCAUCGACAAUGAAGUCCUCUGUUUCCGGUAGUGAUCUCUACCCAUCGUACCCGGAAUCUGUGAUUCUGAACUCCACAGUGGAGUUGCCUUCCUCGUCGAUGUGAUAUCAAAAGAUGUGCACGAGUCCUUAAGAGGAAACAAUGGUCUGUGAAGUAAUCUUAUAGCUACCUAGUCAUAUCAUUAAAGUUGUCUGAAAUCUUAUUACUAGGUUAAUUUACAUAUAUCUAAAAACACAUCUCUAGUGCUUUUUGAAUCAAACUCUCUUUCGUAUAACUUUCCUAAAAUCAUUUACAUAUUCUAAGAAGAUUCACUGCACAAAUUGAAAAUAUUUUACUUUCUUUCUUUUAUAAAAUAGGAAGCUUUUUAGUUUCAUAAUAUUUUUUAAAUGAAACUUUUGGAACUAUAUACACACAUAAAGGGAUAAAAGAAAUGGGUCAUUCAUGAACCUGUUCAUUGCUGCCAACUUGUACAAUAAUUCAAAUAUUAAAUAGCUUUGGUCUUAUACGUAGAAUGCGGUGAAGACGAUUUCGUACAAACGAUUGAAGACGAUGAUUUCGGGCACGACGAUAACGGAGAAAACAGAGUAUCACGACAGAGAGUUAGUUCGAGGAAGAGGAAGUAAACACAGACAAUGUCGAUGACGGAGAAUGAGAGUAUCUUCGCGGUUCUUUCUUUGACGGUUCCUUCUUCGAGACGACAAAGACAAUGUUCUUAGUUAGUUUUUUUUUUUUUUAUGUAGUUAUGAUGAAGAAGAGACGGUUUGAUUUCUAUUAUGAUGAUAUGUAUAUUUAAUUAGUGAUUUAGAUUUAAUGUUUAAAAAUAAUUUCAAUAAGUAAAAACUAACCAAAGGUCCUUACAGUAAUUUACUAUGAAUAUCUAAAUAUUCUAGUAAUUUUUAAAAUAUGUUUAACACUCUAGUAAUAAACCAACUUUUCUUAUACAUUCUAUUAAUUUUCUCUAAUUUAUAUAGAUCCAAAAACACAUCUCUAUAAUGUUUGUCAUACUCGAAUUAUAUACAGUGCUUGUUGAAUCAAACUCUCUUUCCUAUAACUUUCCUAAAAUCAUUUACAUAUUUUUAGAAGAUACGCUACAAAAAAUUGAAAUUCUUUUACUUUCUUUCUUUUUAUUAAAAAAAAAGAAGCUUUUUAGCUUCAUAAUCCUAAAAAGAAUAUUUUUUAAAUGAUACUUUUGGAACUAUAAACACGUAAAGGGACAAAAGAAAUGGGUCAUUCAUGAACCUAUUACCUGUUCGUCGCUGCAACUUGUACAAUAAUUCAAAUAUUAAUUUACUUUGGUCUUACAUGUGUCGCGACUUUCUACUAGCGACGACCAAGAAGACCUAUAUGUAGAUCCUUUCACUGUUACACUUAUUUAGUUAAACAAGUCCACAAAUUUUGAAUUCAAUAAUGGGGGUUGUCUUCUCGGCUCUCGUUCUGUUCUUCACCAUCAUCACAAGUUUUUCCUCCACUCUAACAACAUCCGCUUCACCAGCUCUCCAUCCAGAUGAAUGUAUUAAAUCAAAAUCUUGAUCCUUAUAAUAUCAAAGGUCAGUAUCCGUAAUUUUUUUCAUAAAUAAACUCGAUAAUAUUUAUGCAGUGAAAGCGCUUGGGGAGAUAGCUACUACACUUGGAAUCAAGAGACUCAACCUAAGUGAUGGAGAUCCUUGCCUUUUAAAAACUCUUAAACUCGGUGUUGUUUCGAAUCCGGAUUCGGAUGUGGAAAACAUUAUUCUUUGUGAUUGUAGUUUCAACAACAACAUGACAUGUCAUAUUAUAGAACUGUGAGUGUGAAUCUUUUAUCUUCAAUUAUCAAAUUUUUAUUUUCUGAUGAUUUUUUUUUUAUUUUUGAGAAAUCACAGAAUACUCAAGUCCGUAAGUCUUUCAGGGAAACUCCCGCCUGAGUUGGCCAAACUUCAGCAUCUCCAGAAGAUGUGAGUUUAGAACUUAUGAUUAGUCGUUGGUUUUGCAAACCAUGGUUCAUAAUCCAUGUUAGUCAUUUGUGAUUUUUUUUUGCAACAAAAGUGAUUUGGUUGAUCUAUAUCUAACAUGGAGAUAAAUAAAAUUAAAAAUGUAUUAAUUCUUUAAAGUUUUCAUUUAUGUAUAUGAUGCCACACUACAAAAGUACAGCCUCGUACCUAGUAUCCAUAAUGGCUUAGUCACCCGAACAUAUGAUGAUUAAUCAAAACAGAAUAAACAGAAAUUCGAACUUUCUUUUUUGAUCAUUAGCUUAGAAAUUCGAACUUCUUUAGUCUGGAAAUCUCUCCCAUGUGGACAUUUUAUAGUGAGUUUCUGCUCUUUCUUGCAGAAACUUGUGCCGAAACUACCUUUCUGGCUCAAUCCCAAUGGAGUGGGCUUCAAUGCCAAACCUCACUUCCAUGUCAGCUCUCUCUUUCUCUCUCUCUCUCACUCCCUUGUAAUCUUCAUGAUCUGGUAGGUAAUUUUUCGCUUUCUUGCAGCUCGUUCUGCGCAAAUCGUUUGUCUGGGCCAUUACCUCCUGGUUUACAAAACUUUAAGAGUCUAAAAUUCCUGUACGUCUCAUACCUGUAGCCUCUAGGGGUAUGCCUUCUAAUCAUUAGUCUAAUAUUACUUUUAUUGUAAUGAAUUUUUCAGAGGGGUUGAAGCCAACCAGUUCUCUGGUCCUAUUCCUGAUGAGCUUGGUAACAUGAUCAACCUAACAGGAUUGUAUGAUCCUCUUUGCAUCUUAACUAUCUUCCAAAACAACAUGAACCAUUGCUUUUAUUGAAAUAGUUUUAAGUAUUUAGAUAAAAUCUCUUCUGAAAAACUGGGUUUUGCAGGGAACUUGCAUCCAAUCAAUUUACAGGAAGCCUUCCUAGCUCUCUUGCUAGACUCGUAAAUCUUGAGAAAUUGUAAGUUGUUGCUACACUUACAGCAAAAAAGCAUUUUUCCCCUUUUAGGGGGAAACGCUCUUUUAUGCUUGGAUGUGAGUAAAUUUGAAUCUCCUCAGGGGAUGCAUUAGGUUUGAAAGUUCGAAAAAUGUUCUUAUAUUUGGCACCUAAAUGAACUGUAACCUCUUGGUUACAGCUUUUGCUUUGAGAAUAUAUUUUUUUUUUUUGAGAAAUUUUCCUUGACCCACGAGGAAGUAAACUAGCUUUUUGUUUACACUAUGCAGUAGGAUAAGUGAAAAUAACUUCAGUGGCACCAUCCCAGAAUAUAUUGGCAACUGGUCUCGGCUUACAAGGCUGUAAGCUUUUUCAUAAUCAUUAAAUGUAAUUUCUCUUACAGUUUGUGUGGUUAAUAUCAUCUAAGUUUGGUCGAAUAUGAUCUUCAGAGAUCUACAAGCAAGUGGACUGAAAGGACCUUUUCCUGACGCAGUGGCCCGCCUAGAAAAUCUUACCAAUCUGUAAUUAACUAUCUCAAACUAAAUGAUCAGCUAAAGAACCAUUGAAAUGAAUAUACUGAUAUCUAAUAUUCAUUUUCAGGUUUAUUAGUGAUAUGACCGGGAUAAACUCUUUUCCUAAUAUAUCUAGCCAAGCCAUCAAAGACCUGUAUGUGUGUUUUCAAUGAAGCAUGAUUGUAUUUGAGGAUAUCAAACUAAAAACUCCGUCCCUGUUUCAGGGUUUUGAGGAAUGUGAGUAUGUCUGGUAAAAUUCCUUCUUACAUUUGGAGUAAACCAAACUUGAGAUCUCUGUAAGUUUGUGUUGAAAUCUGAAAAGACUUAUGCAGAAUUUACUCAAAGAUGUUCACACCUUAUGUUGUUUUCUGCAGUGAUUUAUCGUUUAACAAGUUGACCGGUGAAGUUCUUGGAAUAAACCCAGUACCAAAAUUUACGUAAGACGCAUAUAAUGUUAAGAUAUAUAACACAAUCACACACGGAUGAUUUAUAGUUUUGAUGUGUUGUUACAGUUACUUGACUGGCAAUAUGCUUUCCGGGGAAAUUAAAUCUGGUGUUUACCUCAACAGCAGAUCAAAUAUGUACGUUUCAGCCUUCCCUUGUUUACAUGACUUGAGAAAUCUUUCAACAUGUAAACUAAUCUUUUUAGCAAAAAAAAAAAAAAAAACAUGUAAACUAAUCUUCUAGUUGGUUUUUCUACAGUGACCUCUCUUAUAACAAUUUCUCAUUGCCGUUUAGCUGCCAAGAAAGGAGGUACAUACGUACAUAUUUGUUGAUAAAAUGCUCAUAUUGAAGUUGAUGUUCUCAAUUUGUAUUGGAUCAGUAACAUUAAUACAUACCGGAGCUCAUCCUUAAAGAACACUUUGUAAGUUCACUCUUCUGCGUUAUCUUCUGCAACAAGAAUGCCUAAAGCUUAGUACAAAUCUUUUGCAAGUUUUCUCCUGAUCAGAUGCCUAAAUACUAUGAUCAUUUUGUCAUACAGAACUGGUCUUCUUCCAUGCGCUGGUCCAAUCACUUGCAAGCACUGUAAGCACAUACUGAGAAUUUGACCCACUCACUUUUGUUAAUUCAUUUUUUUAUUGAUGUUGAUAAUCGUUGUUGAUUGUAGAUAAGCGAUCGCUACAUAUAAACUGUGGUGGGGAAACUGUGACUGUUACAAACUCUAUUGGUAAAAUCACUUAUCAAGCUGAUAACAGUGAUCAGGUCAAAGCCGCUACAAAUCAGCACUUCAAGAACUGGGGAAUUAGCAACACUGGUGACUUUAUGGAUGAUAAUAGAGAUGAAGAUACGUACAUCAUUUCUACUAGUUUGACACUACCUGGAGAUUCUCCUGAUCUUUAUAAGACUGCGCGUCGAUCUGCUCUCUCUCUUGUUUAUUAUGCGUUUUGCUUGGAAAAUGGAGAAUAUAAUUUGAAACUUCAUUUUAUGGAGAUUCAGUUUUCAGAUCAAGAACUAUAUAGUCGUCUAGGUAGACGCAUAUUUGAUGUCUAUGUUCAGGUAUAGCGUUAUUGUUUACUGAAUAAUUGCUUUUUAUUACCUAACUAAGUUGCUUAGAAGAUUGAAUUUCAUUUCCUUUUGUCCCUUUUCUCCUCUGAUAGGGGAAAUUGUUCUUGAGGGAUUUUAACAUCAGACAGGAGGCUAAUGGCACUCUGAAGUCUAUUGUGAAAGAACUGAAAGCUGUUAAUGUGACGGAUCAUAAGUUAGAGAUAUGGUUGUAUUGGGCGGGUAAAGGGACAACACUCAUACCCAAAAGAGGAAACUAUGGUCCUCUUAUCUCUGCAAUCUCCUUGUGCCACAGUAAGUAACACUUCUCCUCUGCUUUAGAAAACUUAAGACUAUUCUUGUUACUCCUUGUUACCUAUAAAUAAUAUUCAUGUUUCAAAAUUUCAGGCCUGGAGCAACAUUGUGGAGGUCCCAUAAGAUAAAUAAAUAAAUACUUUGUUACAAACUUCUUUCUCUAGAUUGGUGUAUGCAUUAACACUUUUAGGGUCUCAUUUGCAGUGGAGAAAACCAAACAUCACAUCAAUUAUCCACUAAUUUUUGGGGUAACGGGUCCCUUGGUAGCAAUUAUUUUCUUGGCUUUGGGAAUAUUCUAUGCUCACAGAAAAUUCAGACAGGGCAAGAAAAAGAGAGAAAGAGGUAUCAAAGCUCACAAAGUAUAUGAAUACAAUACACAUAUUUGCUCAUAGCAUUAUUACUUAUGAUUUUGGAACCUGAUCACAUUAUAUAGACUUGAGAGCACGGGGUCUGCAAACUGUUUGCUUUACAUGGAGGCAACUGCAAGCUGCAACUAAUGAUUUUGAUGAAGCCAACAAACUUGGAGAAGGAGGUUUCGGUUCUGUAUUCAAAGUAUACUAAAACUAGAACACAUGCCAAGUUUUUCUCAAGAAUUUAUAUGGCUGUUUAUUUGGUUUCUGAUAUGAGAAACAUAAUAUGCAGGGAGAGCUGCCAGAUGGAACUAUCAUAGCAGUGAAGCAGCUUUCUUCCAAGUCAUGCCAAGGAAACCGUGAGUUUGUGAAUGAGAUAGGCAUGAUCUCUGGUCUGAAUCAUCCAAACCUUGUCAAGCUUUAUGGAUGCUGUGUCGAAAAGGAUCAAUUGCUACUUGUGUAUGAGUACAUGGAAAACAACUCCCUUGCUCUUGCUU